AUUGAACGCUGGCGGCAUGCCUUACACAUGCAAGUCGAACGGCAGCACGGGGCAACCUGGUGGCGAGUGGCGAACGGGUGAGUAAUGCAUCGGAACGUACCUUUCAGUGGGGGAUAACGUAGCGAAAGUUACGCUAAUACCGCAUAUUCUGUGAGCAGGAAAGCAGGGGAUCGCAAGACCUUGCGCUGAUUGAGCGGCCGAUGUCAGAUUAGCUAGUUGGUGAGGUAAAGGCUCACCAAGGCGACGAUCUGUAGCGGGGCUGAGAGGAUGAUCCGCCACACUGGAACUGAGACACGGUCCAGACUCCUACGGGAGGCAGCAGUGGGGAAUUUUGGACAAUGGGGGCAACCCUGAUCCAGCCAUGCCGCGUGAGUGAAGAAGGCCUUCGGUUUGUAAAGCUCUUUCGGCCGGGAAGAAAUCGCAUCAGCUAAUACCUGGUGUGGAUGACGGUACCGGAAUAAGAAGCACCGGCUAACUACGUGCCAGCAGCCGCAGUAAUAC
rnacentral:rRNA from 1 species